GACGAACGCUGGCGGCGCGCCUAACACAUGCAAGUCGAGCGAGAACCAGGGCUUCGGCCCUGGGGACAGCGGCGAACGGGUGAGUAACACGUGAGCAAUCCACCCUCGGCACCGGGAUAGCCCGGGGAAACCCGGAUUAAUACCGGAUGGCCCGCCCGCCUCUCGAGGCGGUCGGGAAAGGUAGCUUCGGCCUCCGGCCGAGGACGAGCUCGCGGCGGAUUAGCUUGUUGGUGAGGUAACGGCUCACCAAGGCGACGAUCCGUAGCUGGUCGGGGAGGCCGAUCGCCCACCCUGGGACUGAGACACGGCCCAGACUCCUACGGGAGGCAGCAGUGGGGAAUCUUGCGCAAUGGGUGAAAGCCUGACGCAGCGACGCCGUGUGCGGGAAGAAGGCCUUCGGGUUGUAAACCGCUUUCAGGAGGGACGAAGCCACUCGGGUUAACAGCCCAGAGGGUGACGGUACCUCCAGAAGAAGCCCCGGCUAACUACGUGCCAGCAGCCGCGGUAACAC
rnacentral:rRNA from 1 species